GAUGAACGCUGGCGGCGUGCCUAAUACAUGCAAGUCGAGCGAACGGACGAGAAGCUUGCUUCUCUGAUGUUAGCGGCGGACGGGUGGGUAACACGUGGAUAACCUACCUAUAAGACUGGGAUAACUUCGGGAAACCGGAGCUAAUACCGGAUAAUAUUAUGAACCGCAUGGUUCAAAAGUGAAAGACGGUCUUGCUGUCACUUAUAGAUGGAUCCGCGCUGCAUUAGCUAGUUGGUAAGGUAACGGCUUACCAAGGCAACGAUGCAUAGCCGACCUGAGAGGGUGAUCGGCCACACUGGAACUGAGACACGGUCCAGACUCCUACGGGAGGCAGCAGUAGGGAAUCUUCCGCAAUGGGCGAAAGCCUGACGGAGCAACGCCGCGUGAGUGAUGAAGGUCUUCGGAUCGUAAAACUCUGUUAUUAGGGAAGAACAUAUGUGUAAGUAACUGUGCACAUCUUGACGGUACCUAAUCAGAAAGCCACGGCUAACUACGUG
rnacentral:rRNA from 1 species